UUAGGAAUGAAAAGAAUGUCUGUGCUUAUUAAAGGGAGACAAAACUCUUGGCCCGGGCCCCACAUGGGCCACUUUGUGAGUUAUGUUGGAGGGAGAACAGGCCUCAUCUCCACCCUACAACCAAACCAAUACCAGAGACCUCCGCUACUGUGAAUCUUGGGACCAAAAAUAUGCAAUCUUUUCAUCGGAUCAUUGAGAAGUUCCUGUCCUUUCAGAACAGAGGCAGGCUGUGUCCCUGAGGAUCUACAAACGGUAAUUGGAUUGUAACUGUGCAAACUGUCCUUAUUAGGAAUCAACCAAAGAAUGUUGGAAGCCACUGGUGAAACCCCUGAGAGCAAGAUAAAGCACAUAGGAUGCCUUCUUUGUUUAGGACAAAUUCUCAGUUCUUAAAUUAUAUUUUAAAACUACUGACUCCAUUUUUCUAACACUAGCCACACACACUAAAAAGCAAAAGUUUUCAUUCUCUUUCACACUGAAGCAUAACACAUGCUCUGUAUUUUAUCCUCUUUGUGGGACAGCAGUCCUUGAGAAGUUGUUCAUUUCCUGAACAGAGGGUGUGGAGGUCAGAGUGAAUAUACCCACAUGGCCAUAUCUAAGAGGGUUCAGGUUGGGGUGGGGGUUGGGGGUGGCAUCCAUGAAGAGCAGAGAGAAAAGGGAAGAUUAAUUCCAAUCGCGAAUUACCUUGAUCUCCAUGCAUUCCACAUGGCACUGAACCAAAUACAACUCGAAAAGACAUCUUUGUUUCCCAGUCAAUAGGAAGUUAUAGUUCUCUCAUGGGUCUCAAGUGAAUUCCAACAAAAGAAUCACUGUGAUUAUAAUUUACAAACCGGGAAAUGAUUUCAUGGAAGAUCUUACUGAUUCAAAAUUAAGGACUCGGUAUGCUUUUACUAGGAUUCUGUGAAACUAAUCAUGUAAGCCACACAUAGCCUCUGCUGCUGCUGCUGCUAAGGAAGGAAUUUUAAAGCAGUAAAAUAUUCCAGGUGGUUUUCUUUACUAGAAUGAUUAAACUUAAACAGAGAUUCAGAGUAAAAUCUACCUGUUACUGCACAUACCUCCACCACCACUAUCCUAAAAACUGAUGUUGAAAAUACGCAUUAUUCCAGUAGACAGUCAACAUGGCUCAUACUGGAUACUCAUCAAUGGAAGUUACAUCCUCAUUUAAAGAUAUCUAAUAUCUUAAUAUCAAUAUAUCUAAUAUCUUAAUAUAUUAUUUCACAUGAAAUUGAUAAAUAUGUAAUUCAUUUUUUAUUAUUAGGCAAAUGAUCCUUUAGUUUAUAAAUAGAUGACAGCAACAUGUAGUUCUGACUGAGCACUUACUAAGUGUCAGGCAUUGUUUUAGGCAUUUUAUGGGCACUGACUUAUCUAACCAUCAAAAUAAUUCUUAGCAGUAGGUUACAUUAUUAUCCUCAUAUUACAGAUGAGGAAACAGAAGCGCAGAGGAGUUAAGUGACUUGCUCAAAGAUUCACAGCUCAUAAGUAAUGCGGCUGUCAUCCCAACCACUAUGAGCUUACAAAUUAACUGGAAGACAAAACCACAGUUCAGAGUCAGUACUAGUAGGAGCCAUGUUAUAAGUAUCUAAUAAGGAAGAGACAGUGAUGAAAUAAGAAUGUUUACCUAACACUAGAGUGGUCUGUUAAAUCAAUUAUUUGAUGGAGACAUACACUGUCAGGUCAAUAAAUGUUUCGUAAGAAGGUGACUAAGUGAAUAAUCUCAAAUAAUCCCGAGAGACAACAUCUUGUGAAAUUCCUAGUCUGUUUUAAGAGUGGAAGCAAGGCAGGCCUUAAGAGGAAGUGCAGAAAUAAUGGAGAAGGUGUGUAUAUUUGGUAUUCUUUGGAAAAUGCAUUCAAACCAGAAAAACAAAACAUAAAGAUAAGGAAUCCUUUUUAAGAUUUAAAUAACAACUCUUUAAGUAAAACCAAUAAGAGACCAAAGAGUCACUGAAAGAGCCUUGGAAAUAAAUAUCAGGAAGCAACUAAAAGGUUCCAUCUGUGGAAGAGUUUCGCUAAUCACAAAAAGUGCUGAGAGCACAAUGGUCAUUUUUUUCCCAUUUAACCCUCCAUAUCUAAGCAUACCAAGAAACAAUUUAUAGCCUAAGAAUCUAUGCCAUUAAGCAUUCAUUCCACCUUCUUCUUGGCUCUUAUUCUGGAUUAUUUCUGUUUAUAUCACUGGUGAUAUUUUGCACAUUUAAGGCAAAAAUAUCAUAGAAUCACUGUCAAACUUUUUGAGUGAAUACAUUUCUGAUUACAGUACUCUUUUGCCUAAAACCCUUUGAUGUCUCCUCCUUAGCUCCAGGACAAAGUCCAAAUUCCUUAGCCUGGUAUCCAGUGCGGUGUGCUUUUACUUAGAUGGAAUAAAAUCAAAUAGCCACUACAUAAUAGUGAAUGAUAACAGUAGAAGUUUACUGAGCAUGUAUUAGGUGCUAAGCACUUCAUGUGUGCCAUGUAUUCACUGCCUCCAACAAUUUCAUUUUAUAGAGGAAGUGAUGGAGGCACAGAAAUGGAUGGCGCACAGUGAGGAAAACACUGACUGCUCAUGAAGCCCGUAGCCCCUUUUUCGUGGGCAUUCAGCUAGUCUACAUUUCCCAGCCUCUCUUGCAGUUAAUAGUGGUCAUAUGACUGGAGUCUAGCUAAUGGAAUGUCAGAGGAAGUGACAAGCUUCAUUUCUAGCCCCAGUCCAUAAAAACCUGGAGACAGCAUCCAGGCAACCUGCAUAGCCAUGUGUGGUAGUCCCAGGAGUGGACCACAUUUUUCAGUGUUCUUUGCCUAGUGUAGUCCCCUGCCCUUCAAGCCCGCCUGGCUCUAUGAGUUACUUUAACCAACUGAAUGUGGCAGAAGGGGAUGCCAAGCCCAUUCUGGACCUGAGACAUAAGAAGGCAUGGAAACUUCUGCUUUUGCAUUCAUAGGACCCUUGAGCCCCCAUGACAUAGGUGUAGCCACUAUGUUGAAGAGACCACGUGGAGAGGCAAUAUAGCCAGCGUGAAAGGUUUAGUUGCCCCAAUGUCUCAACCUAAAUCCAGCCCACCCUACCUCCAGCUGAAUGAAAGGAAGAAGCAGCCCAGGUUCAGAAUCAUUGCUUGGAGCACAGCUGUCCCACCAAUUGUGGCCAAUCUAACAGUAUGAAUGACAAAUAGACUUAUGUUGUGAAAUUUGGGGAUGUAUCUGAUAUAGCAGCUGACCUCACUUUCCUGAACUUCCCAUAUGAACACAGAUAAUAAAUCUAAGCAGCCUGAUCUGGAGCCCUUGCGCUUGAAACUCCUCCUAUACUUCUCCCCACUGAACGACAUCAUGACUCAUUUCGUCCCUUCCUACAUUCUCACUUGGAAACAGAGUAGUUGAUCAACUGGAUGAAAAAGUUUGCCGACCCCAGAUCUGGACCCACUGAAAAGAAAUCACCAGAUAUAUGACAUAGGGGAUGACAAUGUUCACAUUUCAUGGUGGAGCAUUUCACUAUUUCAAACAGCAAAGGAACCACAUUUUUUUUCUGUUUCUUUUUUUAAUUAAUUUUAAGUUCCAGGGUACAUGUGCAGGAUGUGCAGGUUUGUUACAUAGGUAAACAUGUGACAUGGUGGUUUGCUGUACCUAUCAACCCAUCACCUAGGUAUUAAGCCCAGCAUGUAUUAGCUAUUUAUCCUGAUGCUCUCCCUCCCCCAACCCCACCACCGGACAGGACCCAGUGUGUGUUGCUCCCCUUCCUGUGUCCAGGAACCACAUGUUUUUAAAACUAUGUUUGUGACAUCUCUGUAUGUAUGAGCAGAUGGGUCCACAGAGAUCACUCAAUGUCUAAUUUUCUUUUACGCACAUAAUGAGAAAAAGCUCAGGGAGAAAAAGUGAAAUCAGUAGCAUGGACUUUAGUAUUUGGUAUGAGCUACUUAUUAGGAAUCAGCAUUUCUUCCAAGUAUUCUCGAAAGAAAAGACAUUCAUACUAGAGUGAUGCCUAUCAAAUCCACUAUGGCCGGCCUGAGAAACUUGUAAUUAAAAACUACAAACAUUAUAGAUUUGUCUCCAUAUUAAAUAGAUUUAACUAUCUCUACAUCUAUGUGUAUCUAUAUGUAUCUCUUGACUAUUAUAUAUUUAUUAUAUGAUGAAUUAUAUAUGUGACAUAUUUCUAUCUUAUAUAGACAAAUAUUUAUAAUAGGUAUGUGAUAAUACACAGUGGGUAAAGGGUACGUAUGCAAAUGCAUCUUGCUUUAAGUAAACCAAUUAUUUGAAAAUACACACAAUAAAAUUAGGGGCAAUGAUUCUGUGGUUCAAAUACAUCAGUAUGGGUUCCCUGCAGUGACCCAGGAAAACUGAAGCAAAAUCAUUUUUAACAUUGCUUCCUAUGUCUCUCCUACUCACACUCAGAAAGUCACCAGUUUCUGUGGAUCCCACCUCAUUAAAAACUGUCCUUUCCUUUAACACUUCCUCUCUGGGAAUGUCCACCAGCACUUCCACACUCUUGUAGGCUGUCUCUCCCUACAAAGCAAAACUCAUCUUGUCCCUUCCCUUUUGAAAGCCAUCAUUGAGGCUCCUAGCUUUCCAGAUGAAGUUCUCAACUCUGAGGUGAAAACACAAGAUCGCUCAAGAUCUGGCCACUGCUUAGCUCUUGGGCUUCACCAAGCCUCACUUACUUCACAUCCCUUAAUUUCAGCCACAUGGAAGAGCCCAGAGGACUUCAUGGUUAGGGUGAGGGGUGCUCUCAGCCCAAAUGGCUUCCCCAUGCCUUCCUACUCACCCUGUAAUGCUUACUGAGCAUCACCUCCUCUGAGAAGCCCUGUCGUCCCCCUACAGGGACAUUACAAAUGAAUCAUCACAUUAACAAGAAAAUCAUACCAUCUAAAACACAAACAAGUUUACUAUGGACCUAUAAGGAACACCAAAACAUGACCAAAGGAAAUUCACCUUAUGUUUGUUAAAGAAGGCGAAUCUGCUUCUUUCAAGGUUCCAAAUGACCUAGACACUUGAGAUGUCUAGACAAUCACUUGUGAUGUCUCAUUGAGGGAGGAAAGAGGAGGGGUGGGAAUGUUUAAAUGUCAGCUAUUUUUCCAGAAAACUCUAACGUCACCGAUACGUCCCUCCUAUGUAACCAUCACACUCAUCUCCCCCCGACCCUGCCCCAUCUCAGCUAUUUUCUUGACUCUUAUUUAAACAUUGGAAAGCUAUUUGAUUAUCUAUAUUUGUGCCUUUUCUCCCUGGCUAGACUGUAGGUUCUGGAAGAAUAGAAACAGCACUAACAUUUUGUGCUUUUGUAUAUUUGCUGGUUGAAAGAAAAUUUGAAGGAGAGUAGCAAUUCUGUCUAUACAGAAAAUCAUUUCUGUCUAUUAGCAUGGAAACAAGACCAGCAGGGAAUAUUUAUAUUUAGGACAUUUAUUUUAAAGUAGCUAAAAUCACUUCCAGUAAAAAUGCAAAAAAAAGAAAAUCUUGCUUCCUGACUUUUAGUAUUAAGAGACAAACAUGUAAAAGGGAAAAUUGAAAAGGGAGAAACCAACAUGAAGUAUGACACCAAAUGCAGGUAUGACGUGAAAACAAGCCAUCUGCACUUACUGGUUCACAUCUGAUUUUCUAGCUGCCACUUUUCAGAUUUAUUUUUCAAAAAUGUUUUCUCCUCAAUAUACGACUUUUAAAAUGAUAAAUUACACAGUAUUUCACAGACCUGUGUAAAUACUUUUGCUCUGAUGUAUAGAAAAUCAUGCUUUCUCUGAGCAAUGAAGCAUAUUGAAAUUUACAUUUUCAAAAAUAAAUUAUAGUAAAAUAAUAGAAGAGCUUGGACAUAAAAAUCAUAUGCCAUAAAAGUUACCACUUUAAAGUGUAUAGUUCUGUGUUUCUUUUUAGUAUACUCAUAGAUAGUGUACAACCAUCAUCACUGAUUCCAAAACAUUUUCAUCACACCAAAAGGAAAGCCCAUACCCAGUCACUCCCCAUUCCCCUCUCACCCCAGCCCCUGGGAACCACUAAUCUACUUUCUGUCUCUAUGGUUUUGCAUGUUUUUGACAUUUAAUAUAAAAGUAGAAUCAUAUAAUAUGUGGGCUUUUUGUGUCUGGUUUCUUUCACUUAGCAUGUUUUUGGAGUUCAUCCACGUUGUAGCAUGUGUCAUUACUUCAUUCAUUCUUAUGGCAGGAUAAUAUUCACUGUAUAGAUAUACUAAAUUUUGCUUGUCCAUUCUUCAGUUGAUGGGCAUUUGGGUUCUUUCCACAUUUUGACUGGUAUGAAUAAAGCUGCUGUGAAUAUUCAUACACACUUUGUGUGAACGUAGGUUUUCAAUGAUUUUGGGUAUAUAACUAGAAGUGGAAUUGCUGGAUCAUAUGGUAACUAUGUAGCCAAAAACAAAAAAAAAAAACGUAGACAACAUGACUCCAAAUAGCAAGAUUCAAACACUUAUUUUAGUGCAAAACUUGUUUUCCGCCUCAUUCCAUUCACAUGAGAUAUCAACAAUUACAAGAAAACUCAUGCAAUGUUUCCACUUCAU
rnacentral:lncRNA from 1 species